AACGAACGCUGGCGGCAUGCCUAACACAUGCCAGUCGAACGAGACCUUCGGGUCUAGUGGCGCACGGGUGCGUAACGCGUGGGAACCUGCCCUUAGGUUCGGCAUAACUCCCCGAAAGGGGUGCUAAUACCGGAUAAUGUCUUCGGACCAAAGAUUUAUCGCCUUUGGAUGGGCACGCGUUGGAUUAGCUAGUUGGUAGGGUAAAAGCCUACCAAGGCGACGAUCCAUAGCUGGUCUGAGAGGAUGAUCAGCCACACUGGGACUGAGACACGGCCCAGACUCCUACGGGAGGCAGCAGUGGGGAAUAUUGGACAAUGGGCGAAAGCCUGAUCCAGCAAUGCCGGGUGAGUGAUGAAGGCCUUAGGGUUGUAAAGCUCUUUUACCCGGGAUGAUAAUGACAGUACCGGGAGAAUAAGCACCGGCUAACUCCGUG
rnacentral:rRNA from 1 species